rnacentral:rRNA from 1 species
UGCAUAUCAAUAAGCGGAGGAAAAGAAACCAACAGGGAUUGCCCCAGUAGCGGCGAGUGAAGCGGCAAGAGCUCAGAUUUGAAAUCGUGUUUCGGCACGAGUUGUAGAGUGUAGGCGGGAGUCUCUGUGGAGCGCGGUGUCCAAGUCCCUUGGAACAGGGUGCCUGAGAGGGUGAGAGCCCCGUAGGGUGCUGCGCGAAGCUUUUGAGGCCCUGCUGACGAGUCGAGUUGUUUGGGAAUGCAGCUCCAAGCGGGUGGUAAAUUCCAUCUAAGGCUAAAUAUUGGCGAGAGACCGAUAGCGAACAAGUACUGUGAAGGAAAGAUGAAAAGCACUUUGAAAAGAGAGUGAAACAGCACGUGAAAUUGUUGAAAGGGAAGGGUAUUGGGCUCGACAUGGGGGGUGCGCACCGCUGUCUCUUGUAGGCGGCGCUCUGGGCGCCCUCUGGGCCAGCAUCGGUUCCUGCUGCGGGAGAAGGGGCUCCGGAAAGUGGCUCUUCGGAGUGUUAUAGCCGGGGCCAGAUGCCCCGCGUGUGGGGACCCGAGGACUGCGGCUUUCUUCUCCGAUGNGCAAA